rnacentral:rRNA from 1 species
CCUACGGGUGGCAGCAGUGGGGAAUAUUGCACAAUGGGGGAAACCCUGAUGCAGCAACGCCGCGUGAGCGAUGAAUGCCUUCGGGUCGUAAAGCUCUGUCCUAAGGGAAGAAUACUGACGGUACCUUAGGAGGAAGCCCCGGCUAACUACGUGCCAGCAGCCGCGGUAAUACGUAGGGGGCUAGCGUUAUCCGGAAUUACUGGGCGUAAAGGGUGCGUAGGCGGCCCUUCAAGUCAGAGGUUAAAGGCUACGGCUCAACCGGAGUAAGCUUUUGAAAGUGUAGGGCGUGGGUGCAGGAGAGGGGAGUGAAAUUCAGGGGGAAGGGGGGAAAUGCUAAUCUAUGGGGGGGACGCGAAGUGGGAAGGGGGGCUCUUUGGACUGUAAUUGACGCUAUGCAACGAAAGGGUGGGGAGCGAAAGGGAUAAGAUGCCCGGGUGUUC